rnacentral:lncRNA from 1 species
CGGGGUGAGCAAAGGAACAGGGGCAGCGAAAACCGGGCGGUCUUGGAUAAGAGUCGGAGGAGAAGGAGAAGAGUUAAGGCUAGCGACGACCGAAGGCCGCAAUGUAGGUCGUCGACGAGCGGAAAAAGAGGAGGUGGUGGUGGAGGAAGAAGAGGAGGUAAGGCACCAACCGUUGAUGGAAGCCGUCGACAUUGCCACGCAAAAUGAUGGAUACAAUUUACUUGGAAAUAUAUAUUAUAAUUUUCAUCACAUAUAAAAUUCUUCAAUGUCUUCAAAACCGAUAAUGAAAGCGAAAGGUUGGU